GUAGGUAAGGUCACGGGCAGAACACCCGUUAAUAGGCUCUAUGUGGAAGUACAGUAAUGUAUGUAGCAGAGGAGUACUAACAGACCGAGGGCUUGACCUC
rnacentral:rRNA from 1 species